ACAGAUUGUACCAUCAAAACAUCUCAAUGAACGUAAUGCAGAUGCAACUGCUGCGAGACAUUACAGUAAGUGGGGAGGUAACACGUGCUGACAAUACACUUAAAAAGCUAAUUUUCUUUCUAGAGAGAGAUAAGCCAUUCCAGAUUUCCUUAAUUUCUCAGCCAGCUUCAAGUAUAACACACUCAGUGUACGGCCUAUUCCUGCAAAGUCAUCUGUCUGCAAAAACCACAGCUUCUGCCAGAGGAGAACGCUCAGUGGGAAGUUGAGGUCACAUCAGUACCUCUUUCCAUCAUUACAGAUAUUCUACUAUGAAGACUUCAGCAUCCACAAAGGUAACUCUUGUUACUUUUUUUAUUCUUUCUUUUCUAUGUGGAUGCUGGUACACAGGUCUCAAAGAAAUGACACUUCAUAUAAAAAACAAGAUAUAAAGAUUCUGUUAUCAGCAUUAGCUCUCUGUGUAGUGCUUUCUGGGGUUCUGUGAUGGCAGAAGAUUGAAUUUCCAUGACAACAUUACAAAAUAUAUUCCUUUUUGGUUCGUUUAAGUUGGUACUCUUUGCCGAACCCAGCAGGUGAUGCUGGCAACUGUGAAGCUCAAUGCAUACUGAAGUCAAAUGAGAUCUUAACUGCAUGAAGAUUUAGGAUGAGAUUCUUAAAUGGCUUUCAGGGUUGCAAUGAGCACUAACCAAGAAAUCUGUAGCUCUCUCCUGGUUUAUAACUCAGUCAAAUAUAAGGGAUAAAAAUACAAGAUAGCAUGAUUUCUUUUAGUAAUCAUAACGAUUUCUGGCACGUAUCUGUGGCUGAAGAUACCACCUAUGGCUCUAUUCUCGUUUCAAGGCUGUUACAAAUAUUCAGUUACAAAUUAAUUACAAGUAUUUUGGUAUAAAGGUCUUUUUGGAGGAAGAAUAUCUGAGUCUGUUUGAGCUUUGAGUCUAACUCUAACGUGCUAUGUAAUUUUAGCACCUUAUUUUCCUACUACCUGUUUUUCACUGUAGGCUUGUCCUGUGAGACCCAAUCCUUUAAAAUUCUUGAAUAAAUCUACUUUUAAUUCAAAAGACGAAAACUAA
rnacentral:lncRNA from 1 species